rnacentral:rRNA from 1 species
GUGGGGAAUUUUGGACAAUGGGGGCAACCCUGAUCCAGCCAUGCCGCGUGCGGGAAGAAGGCCUUCGGGUUGUAAACCGCUUUUGUCAGGGAAGAAAUCCUUUGGGUUAAUACCUCGGAGGGAUGACGGUACCUGAAGAAUAAGCACCGGCUAACUACGUGCCAGCAGCCGCGGUAAUACGUAGGGUGCGAGCGUUAAUCGGAAUUACUGGGCGUAAAGCGUGCGCAGGCGGUUUUGUAAGAUCGAUGUGAAAUCCCCGGGCUCAACCUGGGAACUGCAUUGGUGACUGCAAGGCUGGAGUGCGGCAGAGGGGGAUGGAAUUCCGCGUGUAGCAGUGAAAUGCGUAGAUAUGCGGAGGAACACCGAUGGCGAAGGCAAUCCCCUGGGCCUGCACUGACGCUCAUGCACGAAAGCGUGGGGAGCAAACAGGAUUAGAAACCCGUGUAGUCC